GGGUGAGUCGGCCCCUAAGACGAGCCCGAAGGGGGUAGUCGAUGGGAACACGGUUAAUAUUCCGUGACCUGGUGGAAUGUGACGGAUCUCGUGUGUUGUCUGAUCUUAUUGGAUUGAUCAGGCUUCGAAGAGGUUCCAGGAAAUAGCUCCACCAUAUAGACCGUACCCUAAACCGACACAGGUGGGCAGGUAGAAGAUACCAAGGCGCUUGAG
rnacentral:rRNA from 1 species